AUUCCAGCUCCAGUAGCGUAUAUUAAAGUUGUUGCAGUUAAAAAGCUCGUAGUUGGAUUUCUGGCUUGAGACGCCUGAGCCGCCAGGGUUACCUGUGUGAGUCUCGGUGUGUCUCUGCCAUCCUUCUGGAUAGCGUGUCUACCUUUUAUUAGGCCGGGCUCGUGCUCCAGAUCUUUUACUUUGAAAAAAUUAGAGUGUUUAAAGCAAGCUUGCGCUAUGAAUACAUUAGCAUGGAAUAAUAACUUAGGACUUUGGUUCUAUUUUGUUGGUUUCUAGGACUGAAGUAAUGGUUGAUAGGGAUAGUUGGGGGUGCUAGUAUUCAGCGGCCAGAGGUGAAAUUCUUGGAUUCGCUGAAGACUAACUUAUGCGAAAGCAUUCACCAAGGAUGUCUUCAUCA
rnacentral:rRNA from 1 species